rnacentral:lncRNA from 1 species
GUCAUCUUCUGCGUAAUUAUUUUAGAAUCUUUAACAGAAGACAAUCCUUUUCUAGUCCAAAAUUCCUUGUGAUUGGAUUGAUAGCCUUUUAGAUUUGCCAUGUGCACUGAAAUUGUUAUCAGUUGAAUUUUUUUUCUUGUGAACAGUAGCUGCUGAAUUCUUGGAAGUCAGUUUAAGAAUAUUAUUCACUUUUUUAUUUUUUGCGUUAGUUAGUAAGUGGUUGUUAAACAGGAAAGAUAAAGCAUGUUUGUAGCAAGAAUUUCAGCAAUUCCUCUAUUGUUAUGG